rnacentral:rRNA from 1 species
UCAAUAAGCGGAGGAAAAGAAACCAACCGGGAUUGCCUUAGUAACGGCGAGUGAAGCGGCAAAAGCUCAAAUUUCGAAAUCUGGUACCUUCGGUGCCCGAGUUGUAAUUUGGAGAGGGCAACUUUGGGGCCGUUCCUUGUCUAUGUUCCUUGGAACAGGACGUCAUAGAGGGUGAGAAUCCCGUGUGGCGAGGAGUGCGGUUCUUUGUAAAGUGCCUUCGAAGAGUCGAGUUGUUUGGGAAUGCAGCUCUAAGUGGGUGGUAAAUUCCAUCUAAAGCUAAAUAUUGGCGAGAGACCGAUAGCGAACAAGUACAGUGAUGGAAAGAUGAAAAGAACUUUGAAAAGAGAGUGAAAAAGUACGUGAAAUUGUUGAAAGGGAAGGGCAUUUGAUCAGACAUGGUGUUUUGUGCCCUCUGCUCCUUGUGGGUAGGGGAAUCUCGCAUUUCACUGGGCCAGCAUCAGUUUUGGUGGCAGGAUAAAUCCAUAGGAAUGUAGCUUGCCUCGGUAAGUAUUAUAGCCUGUGGGAAUACUGCCAGCUGGGACUGAGGACUGCGACGUAAGUCAAGGAUGCUGGCAUAAUGGUUAUAUGCCGCCCGUCUUGA